CCUACGGGUGGCAGCAGUGAGGAAUAUUGGUCAAUGGGCGAGAGACUGAACCAGCCAAGCCGCGUGAGGGAGUAAUGUACAGAGGAUCGUAAACCUCUUUUGUCAGGGAGCAAAAGCCGGGAGUGUCCGGCUGUGAGAGUACCCGGAAGAAAAGCAUCGGCUAAACCCGGGCCAGCAGCCGCGGUUAUGAGGAGGAUGCGAGCGUUAUCCGGAUUUAUUGGGGUUAAAGGGUGCGCCGGCGGAUUGUUAAGGCAGCGGUCAAAACGUGGGGCUCAACCCCAUCCAGCCGUUGAAACUGGGGAUCUAGAGUUGGCGAGAGGUAUGCGGAAUGCGCGGUGUAGCGGUGAAAUGCAUAGAUAUCACGCAGAACCCCGAUUGCGAAGGCAGCAUACCGGUUCACAACUGACGCUCAGGCACGAAAGCGUGGGUAUCGAACAGGAUUAGAUACCCGAGUAGUC
rnacentral:rRNA from 1 species